rnacentral:lncRNA from 1 species
AGUCAUGCUUUGAGCCAGGGUGAUGCAAAAGUACAUCCAGGCUCAAAAGCAACCUUAAGGACAAAGCCUUUUCUGAGAUUUAGGCAGCUAAGAGUUGUUCCCACCAAAAACAAUACAAGCUUCCUACCUCUCCUCACAGAGUAACAUGGCUUCAGUGCUCAAGCAGAGUUCCUCAUAACAGCAGACUGGCUGACAUGUUCCAGCCAGAAUAAAGCUACUGUCCAGAGCUGCUAAGCUCAGCCAUUUCCUCCAGCUGCCCUUAUAUCCCAUCACCCUCCAUCAGAGCCUGCAACCUUUCCAACCAAGCAGGUGCCGUCCUUUCUGAAGCCAACUAAUUGGUAACUUCUGGAAGAGUAGCUCCUGGAGGUCACCAGGUGUGCCUAAUUAGCACACCAAGGGAAGCCAAAAAAUCCUCCCCAGUUUCAAGGCCUAUAGAUAGCAUUUUUCACAGCCAAGAUGGCUCCCUCAUUGCCCAAGCCUUCUUUCUCUCCUCUCCACUCUUUUUGUAAUUCUGAAGUGAAUAAGACAUCCAAAAUAUAUAAACAGUUUAAUGCCAUGUUUCCUGUAACCACAAGGAAAUCAGACUUUGGGUUCCAGUUACAAAAUGGAUUAAAUAGACUUCUCUCUAGCUAAAACUGCCACAGCUGUUAAUUCUGGAAGAAAUGUCAGUAUUAUUAAUACCUCAUUUAAAAUCUCU